UACGUAGGGGGCUAGCGUUGUCCGGAAUCAUUGGGCGUAAAGCGCGCGUAGGCGGCCCGGUAAGUCCGCUCUGAAAGUCCAGGGCUCAACCUCGAGACGUCGGUGGAAACUGCCUCGCUAGAGUCCGGAAGAGGAGAGUGGAAUUGCCUGGUGUAGCGGUGGAAAUGCGCAGAUAUCAGGAAGAACACCCGUGGCUAAGGCGGCUCUCUAGUACGGUACUGACGCUGAGACGCGAAAGCGUGGGGAGCGAACAGG
rnacentral:rRNA from 1 species